CCUACGGGAGGCAGCAGUGAGGAAUAUUGGUCAAUGGACGAGAGUCUGAACCAGCCAAGUAGCGUGAAGGAUGACUGCCCUAUGGGUUGUAAACUUCUUUUAUAAAGGAAUAAAACGAGGCACGUGUGCCUUUUUGCAUGUACUUUAUGAAUAAGGAUCGGCUAACUCCGUGCCAGCAGCCGCGGUAAUACGGAGGAUCCGAGCGUUAUCCGGAGUUAGUGGGUUUAAAGGGAGCGGAGAUGGGUUGUUAAGUCAGUUGUGAAAGUUUGCGGUGCAACCGUAAAAUUGCAAUUGAUACUGGCAGUCUUGAGUACAGUUGAGGUAGGCGGAAUUCGUGGUGUAGCGGUGAAAUGCUUAGAUAUCACGAAGAACCCCGAUUGCGAAGGCAGCUUACUAAACUGUGACUGACAUUGAUGCUCGAAAGUGUGGGUAUCAAACAGGAUUAGAUACCCGAGUAGUC
rnacentral:rRNA from 1 species